GUAGUGAUUUAAACCCCAUAUUCGAAUUGUACGGUCAUCACUGCCUGAAGCCAACAUGUGAAGAUUUGCUGGAUUCCAGCUCACAGAGUUUACAGCCCCAGAAUGNNNNNNNNNGUUCUCCAGAGCCUCUAUGCCAUAUAUAUACCUGAGAAUCCUCACUCCCACUUGCAAUAAAUGCUUGCUCAAAUCCACCAAAGCAAGAUCUGAUAACAAAUCGUGUGCGUGUGUGACCUUUAUACUUGGAAAUAAUCUUGGGAUUGCCUUCGAUGCUCCACAGAUGGAUUUCUUGGUUUAUAAGAUUAACCAGAAGGAAUUUAUUGUCUUUUGAUAGCGAGAAUGAAGUAAUAAUCUCCUCCUCUUCAAUCAGCCUCUCAAAUUUCACUUCCCUGUCAAGCAACAGUAUGGCAGUAUCUCUGCAUAUGCUUAUGAUCCUCUUUCCAUCAUCAGUUAUGGCUGUGUCUGAUAUCCUGACUGCCCUCUGCCCUUUCCAACAUUCUAGCUCCUUUCCAUCCAAAUCCCACAAGCAGAUGCUCUUGUCAGUCAUUCCAGAAAAUAUCCCCAUGCCAUCAGGAAACCAUCCACAGGAAACCAAACCAACACCGGCUUUUUCAUAAACAUGGAUGCAUUCUCCAGAACUGGCAUCCCAGCGUCUGAUAACCUCUUCCUGUCCACAGGUAAGGAGUUGGUUGUCAUCAGGGCUCCAUGAAACAGUCGACACUGGUUUCUGAUGACCCCUUAAUAUAUGCUUCAAUGACACUUGACCAUCCUCUUUAACCUCCCAUAUGACUGCAGACUGAUCCUUGGAUGAUGAGGCCAAAUAUUUGCCAUUAUGUGAAAAUUGCAAAAACCAAACUUCAUCAUUGUGUGCUUCAAGAAUCUGCAUUGUUUGAGAAGGAAUCUGGUUUCUUCCGCAUUGAUGAUCUGAGUACAAUGACAGAUCACUAUCCAAGGUAUUGUGGAACACACAAGAAUCACGUUGCACAUCAAGAGCCUUCUCGACAAGAUGUUCUAACCUUUUCUCAGGAAUCAUGACCGUAGGAGGUAACAGCUUCUGUAGUUUUUCUAGAAUCAUCGCCCUUGAAUUUGCAUCCUUGGUAUCCUGACCAAAAAUUAAACACCGUGAAGGAGAGAUAAUGCACGUGGCAAGCUCAUGUACACGGUUCAAAUUAAUAUGAAGAGGCACAAUCUCAUUCCUUAGAGUAUCAAGUGCAGCAACAACAUUAUCCAUUUUUAGAAGUUUGAGGAACUUCUGCUCCCAUAGAAUGAAAGAUGCCAAUUUCACAGUCG
rnacentral:misc_RNA from 1 species